rnacentral:sRNA from 1 species
AACAUAUCAAUUUUUUCAGUUCAACGUAUCUCGAAUGUAAAAUUUUGUUUAAUUAAAGAAAAACAUAGCAGCGCGAGCAUAUAUAGUCCAAUAGUAGGAGGGAGCUGUGGUGAAGGGUGAAACUUCCAAAUCCGAGUUCGAUCCUCAAUGAAAAUAAAAAUCACAUUUGUUUGGAAAAUCUGUCAGUUGGAUCUUAGUCUAGUUAGUUUAUCUGGUAGUUAAAAAUGCAGGUAGUCUAAUUAUUUCCUAGCAUUAGUCGGAAAACAUUCAAAUUUAAGAUAGACAUUGUGGUGACUUUUCGGGAAGUAGUCUAUUUUGAAAUAUUUCGGUAUAUUUCUAUCAAAGCUCACUGGACAGCCGAUAAGAUUUAUCAAAAAAAAACAUAGCAAUAAAAUCGAAAUUUACAAAUUUUCCUGUCACGAUCGAAUUGAUGUGUCAUGCUUGCCUCAGCACUCUUAACAAGUAUACAAAAUCUAAUUACGAUGUUUCCUUUUUACUUUCGGUCAAAAUUAUGGAAGCUACAAAGUUCAAG